rnacentral:rRNA from 1 species
AUGGCUGAUGCCAGUUCGAGGACUGACACAUCGAUAGUUGUGGACACUGACGAUAAGAAUCAAAGGAUGGAAAACGGACAAAAUGGAGCUAUCGUGCCUUCUAAUUCAUCUGAACCGUCUGACAGGUCCGACAGGCCUAUGGACCAAAAGGUAUUGCGGAGGCUUGCCCAAAAUCGCGAGGCAGCACGAAAAAGUCGUCUGAGGAAAAAGGCGUAUGUACAACAACUUGAGAGCAGUAAGCUGAAACUUGCAAGCCUAGAACAAGAACUCCAGAAAGCUCGACAGCAAGGAAUCUUCAUUUCUAGCUCUGGGGAUCAAACUCAUGCUAUGAGUGGAAAUGGAGCGAUGACAUUUGAUUUAGAAUAUACUCGAUGGCUAGAGGAGCAAAAUAAGCAGAUAAAUGAGCUGAGGACUGCAGUAAAUGCUCAUGCAAGUGAUAGUGACCUCCGUCUUAUUGUAGAUGGGAUAAUGGCACAUUAUGACGAAAUAUUCAAGCUGAAGGGUGCUGCUGCAAAGGCUGAUGUGUUUCAUAUGCUUUCAGGCAUGUGGAAAACACCUGCUGAAAGGUGUUUUUUGUGGCUUGGGGGUUUUCGUUCAUCUGAACUUCUAAAGCUCCUUGUAAAUCAGCUCGAGCCUCUAACAGAGCAGCAGUUGAUGGGGUUAUCCAGCCUCGAGCAAUCCUCACACCAGGCCGAGGAUGCACUAUCACAAGGAAUGGAGGCAUUGCAGCAAUCUUUGGCUGAAACGUUGGCUGGUUCCCUUGGUCCAUCAGGAUCUUCAGGAAACGUGGCAAACUACAUGGGUCAAAUGGCUAUGGCUAUGGGAAAACUUGGAACCCUUGAGAAUUUCCUUCGCCAGGCUGACAAUCUACGGCAACAAACUUUGCAUCAAAUGCAAAGAAUUCUGACAAUACGGCAAGCUGCUCGAGCUCUCCUUGCAAUACACGACUAUUUCUCACGUUUGCGUGCCCUCAGUUCUCUCUGGCUUGCGAGGCCACGGGAGUAA